AAAAAUAGCUUAUAAACAGCAAAACAUUUGAAUAAAUAUCCAAUACAUCAUCCAAAGAAAAAUCCUCCCAGAACUGGUGUCACGCUUCGCAGACAAUCUAGAAUUACUACAAAUAAGGUCCGAAAGAAAGAUACAAUCUGUCUCAGAAGUAAAUGAAAAAUGAAUAUAAAGAUAGAAGAGAACGUCAGGGCUUGCGGAUGCUUGCAGGACUACCUCGGAAUCUCUGAGUGAACUGAAGGAAACCACCCAAAGCUAUGGUCCAAAAGCUCCGCUCUAGGAUCUGCACACAGUGUAGAGUGUAGUAUCAGCACAACCGAUCCCAUAUGCUGGUAACUGCCUGACCAAACCCCGACGAAGUAGUAACGAGGCUAGGACCAGACUACCAAAUAAACAUGUGCAUCUAUAUCAUAUAUUGCAGAAAAUGAACAGAAAUAAAUAACUAAAGAUGAGAGGGGGACAUACUAUGCGAGAAUGUCAUUUACCAACAGUAGUCCACGAGAAAAACAUAAAGAACAAUUUAAAACUUGCAGUAGAAAGAAUAAGGAAAGUCAUAACCAGUCAACAAUCACUUCUAUCAUUAUUGUUGCGCCGCAACCCGUUCCAAAUCAUAAAACACUGUUGCGUUGUGCAACCCGAUCCAAAUAUAUUAUUAUUGAAGUGUGCAACCUGAUCCAAAUAUAAUAUUAUUGUGGCGUGCAACCAAAUCCAAAUAUAAUAUUGUUGCGGCAUUCAACCCGAUCCAAAUAUAAUAUUGUUGCGGCGUGCAACCCGAUUCAAAUAUAAUAUUAUCGCGUGCAUGCAACCCGAUCUAUAAUAUUCAACACCAACCGCAAAAUAGUCCGGACAAGAGAACAAUAAGGGAACAAUAAUAUUCCGGCAAGGAAAUCAAUAACAUCAUAAUAAAAUCAAGUAACAAACCGAAAAUCAGUAAAUAAAUGUAAAGGACAACAUAACUCAAUUAUCAGCAAAAUUCAAAAAAGUCAAGGACAAGUGCACGGCAUCACCCUUCGUGCUUUUACGCUCUUCCUCACGCAAACGAUAAUCACUUGAAAUAAGGACAAGGAAAUAAAUGAAAUCACAAUAAAAACCUGGCAAGGGAGCCAUUUAAUAAUUACUUCUCUUUUCCUUUCCAUAUUUACUUCACAACUCACUUCACAACUUGAGCAAAUGCUCUAUAAGAUUCAAUUGCCAAUUAUACAUCCACAAUUCAUUUUACAACUUGAGCCAAUGCUCCAUAAUGUUCGAUUGCCAAUUAUACCGACGCUCUUCAAUAUUCAAAUACCAAUAUAAUUUUCACAAGCCUAGCUCAACAAUAUAAAUCAUCACCAAGGCAUGAAUAAUACAACGAAGUCAUAAUAAUCACAAUAUAAGACUCACGCGCAUACUUGACACCAACUUAUAGAUACUCGUCACCAUGCCUAUACGUCGUACUCAAAAAAUACCACAUAGCAAAUAGGACUCGACUGCUAAUCCAUCAAGCUAAGGUUAGACCAAAUACUUGCCUCGAUGCCACAAAUACAAUUCAAGCCUCAACUAUUGCUUUACCUCUUAAGUCCACCACCAACUCUCUCGUAUCUAGCCACAAGUUACUUAAUAAUAUUAAUAAGUGCUAAAUGAAUCAAUUCUAAUGCAUGUAAAUAAGUUUUCUAAAGUUUUUCCUAAAAAUUCAAAUAUCGGCCUUGGGCCCGCUUGGUCCAAAUCCUAUAUUCGGACCAAAACCCGAUUAUCCAUUCAUCCCCGAGCCCGGAUAUAUGAUUGGUUUUGGAAUCCAACCUCAAUUUGACGUCUAAAUCCUCGAAUUUCAAUAUUCUUAGGUUUUACCCAAAAUUUCCAAUUCCAACAUGAAAACCCUAGAUUUUAGGAUAAAUCUUGUAAAAAGAAGUUAAGGAGUAAGAAAAUGAGCUAGAAAUUACUUACUAAUAUUUUGGAGAAAAAAGGUUUUUUGAAAAAUUGCCUCUUAUGUUUUUGGGAUUUUAAAAAAUAAAAAAUAACUGAAAAUACCGUUUAAAUAUACCCCUCUCAGACCCUCUGUGCGGACCGCAUGAAAAGGAGUGUGGCCGCGAAGCUCACAAGGUUGAUUGCAGUGACAUGCUUUUGUAAUUUAGCCAUAAUGUUUUCUACGGAUUUCCAAUAUGUGAUUUAUUUAUCUUUCUGAAGACUAGAAACGAAAGGAUACAACUUUUUUCACGGAUCAUCUAAAAAUUCCUUGUAGAUAAAAAAAUAUAGGCUUCCGAAGUCAGUCCAGUGGACCUGUGUGGACCGCACAAAAUCGAGUGCGGUCGCAAUGCUUCCACCGCGAACAGCACAAAACCAAUGCGGAUUGCACUGGCGGGUUCAAAGAUUUGCACUUCUCUGAACCUGCAACAUCUAUAUUUUAAGCUUAAGACAUCCCGAAACUUACCCGAAAUUCACACGAGCCCUCGGGACUCCAUACCAAAAUGUGCAUUCUAACGCAAAAAUAUCAUAUGGACCUACUCUUGCAAUCACAUCAUCAAAAUAACAUGUAAACCUGAAUUAAACCUCAAAACUCAUCAUUUUCAUCAAGAACACUUAAAGUUCAUAACUCUUCAACCGGAAGUCCAACUCACGUCAAAUAGACUCUAUCUUUUACCAAAUUUCACAGUUACCUUUCAAAUACUAUAACAAGUUUGUACCGGGCUCCGUAACCAAAAAUACAGGCCCGAUACCAAUGGUUUCAAACAUUAAUUCUUUUCUUCAUUUCUUAGAUAAUUCAGCAAAAAAUAAUUUCUUUAAAAAAUUGGUUUCUAAGGUUUGGGACCUCCAAAUUCAUUCCGGGCAUAUGCUCAAGUCCAAUAUUUUAUUAUGGACCUCCCGGCAUCGUCAAAAUACGGAUCUAGGUUCGUUUGCUUAAAUUGUUGACCAAAGUCAACUAAAAAUCAAAGUAUUAACCCUACAAAUUGUCACACCCAUUUUUUUCAAUAAACCUCACUAAACCUUCAUAAAAUAAUAAAAAGAUAUUAGUAAAGCUUGAAAAUGAUUUUUCAAUUUUGAAAAGUGAAAAAGAAUUUCAUCUAAAAGGAAAUAACUCAGAGUCGCCACCUGACAAUAAGAAUAACACGAGCUAAUAAAAUGAAAAGCAGAACAAAGAUCCAAGUUUAUGAGUUCAAGAAAUAGACCUUGAUUUGAAUCCGAUUUUGAUGUAUAUGAAUUUAACGACGGACAGAACUUCUCGAGCGGAACUUGAAUUGGACCAGAGAAAAUUUCUCAACCAAACACUCGGCUACUUUUAUGAGAAUUUAACAAAAAAUAUCUUUGUCCUCAUUUAUGAAAGUUGCUGGUACAAAAACGAUAGAUACUCAGAUAAAGACACGAUCGGAAACCUCGAAACGGAAAACUUCAACGAGACUCAAGCUCGACUGGAAAUUAGUGUUCAUGUGUUGUUUUAACUGAAAAUCGUUGAAAUUACACCAGUCAUUGGAAAUUUCAGAUCUAUCAUCGAUGAGAUAGAAACUAAAACCAAAGGAAAAUUAUAAGAAUAGCAACUCCCUUUCUCCCCGUUCGUGAGUGUGUGUGUGUUUGCCGGUUUCAAUGGUAAAGGUCUACGACUUCCGAGUUCGCUAGUUCUCUGCUGGAUCUCGCUUUUCCUGCGAACUACUGGAGGAGGAAAAUGAAGAGAACAGCGGCAACUAGGUGAAGGGUGGCUGAAGGAUGGUCGUUUGUGGGAUGGUUUCGGCGAGUUGGUAAAGGGGAGUGGUAUGAAGUCCCCCGACUUGGUGUGGGCUGUGUGAAGGAGAUGGAGGCGGGGGUGUGCUGGUGAGUUACAAAGGAGCAGAGGUGGUAGCUAUCUGGUUUAGUGUUUUUAGAAGAAGGUGGACGGCUGGUUUUUAGUUUUGUAGGGUUUUUUGGCAGUGUUGUUUAUGGUUCAAGAAAAGACUGCUAGUUUUUUGUCUUGUAUUUUUCUUUUUGGAAAUUAAUAUUAGCCAUAGGAUUAAAUUCAGAUAGAGGGCCAGGAUUAAAAGAUUAUGGGUUGGGUUAGUGGGUGAAUUGGGUCAA
rnacentral:lncRNA from 1 species